UUCAGAAGACGUUGUUCCAUUGUUACUAGAUAUCGAUUGAGGCGAGGGUGUUGCAUUUUGGAAACAUUUGAAGUGGUAGUAAGGAGUAGCCAAAACAGGGUUUAUUUGGUCAACUUGGUGUAUUGGGUAUGCUUAGAUAUGCAUAAGUUCAAUUUUCUUCAAUGUGACAAAUGAUUGCAGGCUAUAUACAGGGAGGAUAUAAUGAAUUAGGAAAAAUACGUGUCCAGGGCCAUCUAAUUAAGGUAUUACUAUUUUGUGAUUUAUUUCUUUGUUCCCUUUUUUCUUUAGCCUGGGGAUGGGAGUACGUUUGUUGAUUUCCCAAGCUUAUUGCCUCGUGAAUAUACUGCAAUAGUACACACUGAAUAUACUGCAAUAUCUGUUUGGGUAAGUUUUUAUCUUCACCAACUUUCUCAUAAAGAUCUUUAAUUAUAGUCGACAAUGUACAUGUACAUGUACCAAAGAAUCUUCUGCUAUUAGUGCAGAACUAUUAAAUUCAUUACUAAUUGAAUUAUAAGUAUAAAUAUGAUUAGCUUAUU